UACGUAGGGUGCGAGCGUUGUCCGGAAUUACUGGGCGUAAAGAGCUCGUAGGUGGUUUGUCGCGUUGUCCGUGAAAACUCACAACUCAAUUGUGGGCGUGCGGGCGAUACGGGCAGACUGGAGUACUGCAGGGGAGACUGGAAUUCCUGGUGUAGCGGUGGAAUGCGCAGAUAUCAGGAGGAACACCGGUGGCGAAGGCGCCACUCUGGGCCGAAACUGACGCUGAGGAGCGAAAGCUAGGGGAGCGAAUGGG
rnacentral:rRNA from 1 species